CAGUGAUAAACUGGAGGAAGGUGGGGAUGACGUCAAGUCAUCAUGGCCCUUACGACCAGGGCUACACACGUGCUACAAUGGCGCAUACAAAGAGAAGCGACCUCGCGAGAGCAAGCGGACCUCAUAAAGUGCGUCGUAGUCCGGAUUGGAGUCUGCAACUCGACUCCAUGAAGUCGGAAUCGCUAGUAAUCGUGGAUCAGAAUGCCACGGUGAAUACGUUCCCGGGCCUUGUACACACCGCCCGUCACACCAUGGGAGUGGGUUGCAAAAGAAGUAGGUAGCUUAACCUUCGGGAGGGCGCUUACCACUUUGUGAUUCAUGACUGGGGUGAAGUCGUAACAAGGUAACCGUAGGGGAACCUGCGGUUGGAUCACCUCCUU
rnacentral:rRNA from 14 species